UUUGGCUUCACAGGAUGUUAAUUGGAUGACUGAAGAAGUGUGGAUUACUUGUGGAUUAUCGUGAUGUUUUUAUCAGCUGUUUGGACUCUCAUUCUGACGGCACCCAUUCACUGCAGAGGAUCCAUUGUUGAGCAAGAGAUGUAAUGUUAUAUUUCUCCAAAUCUGAUGAAGAAACAAACUCAUCUCCAUCUUGGAUGGCAUGAGGAAUGGCAGCACAGCUGAAAGCUGCAGGUGGAUGGCUCUAGGUUGCCAUUUUGAAGGCAACAUGACAAGCUGUCACAGCACAAUGGCAGACGUGUUUCAAGACCACAGUGGACCAGUAAGCCGAGUAUUGAUAUUCAGCACUCUCAGCCAUUCCUGCAAGAUCAGAUAUAGCUCCAAAGCAAACUGACGUGAAAAAGACGGGGAUGCAGGUCUCAAGUUCUAAGGAAAUAAUGGAGCAAAGCAAUGGAGGGUUGCAUAAACAAACCUGCAGUAAAUGGAUGUAUCCACUAACACUGUGUGGGUAUUUCACUGGAAAGAACUAAUAAGCAAGGACAUUACAAACAAAGGAAAACAAAGGCCAAGAUCUGCUCAGGUUUCAGAGCUCUCACUGGGAAUGUUCUUCAGAGAACAGGUGCUCAAAGGAAGCUUUAAUCUUCUAUCAAACUAUUCCAAAACCUGACUCAAUGGGAGCCGUUAAAAUAAUGUUACAGUGAUGUAAGCGGUUUACUCUGUAUGCCAGAUCAGCAUUCAUAAUAGGCUCUGAGACAUGGGACAAAAAAACUUAAAAUGACAACAAAUGUCCACUUUGAAAUGAAUCAGAGAUGAUCACUUGAAUGUUCUUAUUACAAAUUGUGUUCUUAUUUUUAUCAGAAUUAUAAAAGUUGCCUGUAUCAGUGACUAUAGACGAUAACGGUAUUAUUUGAAAACGUUUUGUUUUAGUUGAAAACCGUGUGUUAUUUUAUUCAAAUUUAUGAUUUCUGUGACACAUAUUUAAAUUCUAAGAUGAAUGACAUAGCUAUUUAUUUAUUUAUUUAUUUAUUUUUAUGAACUUACAAAGGAACAAAAAUGUGUUUGUCACUCAGAUGCCAGAUGUCUGCCACUGUAUAUGUUUUUAUUUAAAUUUUUUGGAAGAUUGCAUAAUUUGGAUUUAUUGAGUUGUCUGACACCAUUAGGUCACAUUUCCAGCCACAUCAAAGACAGAGAAAAAACUAUAUUUUUUCUAUAUACCUUAUAUAUCUUGGCCAGUUUUUAUAGUAAUACUUCAUGUCAGUAAUUCAUUUCCUCUUUCAUAUUUUCAUUUUGACAUAACACAAUCAUGUCCUUCUGUGGCACUGCUAUCCUAAUACCCCAGUUCCUGUGAAAUGAGAUUUCUUUCCAGAUGUGGUUUUAAUCGGGUUUAUGUUUCAGCGCGUAACUUUUCUAUAAGCUCUUAUUAAACUAGAGCAUGUUUUCAGAAUUUACCUGUUCAGCCUGACUUAACGGCGUGAAAAACCUAAGGUUUCAAAACGAAAGGUUGGCAUGAACCCAUAUGAACCACAACAACAUUUGAUCGUGUUGAUUUUUAGGGAGGACCUGCUAAUAAAGCAUAAAACCUGCUUGUGCA
ensembl:lncRNA